rnacentral:snRNA from 1 species
AUCACUUCUUGGCCUUUUGGCUAAGAUCAAGUAUAGUUUCUGUUAUUAGUUUAAAAAAUCAUUUUUACUUAUGGCUUAUAAUUUUAGGCAUCUGGCUAAUGAUGAAAUGCACAAUCAUAAUAUCCUCUGCUGUAACACCC